UUCAUCAUUAAAGUCGUCGGUUUUGCAAAUGGUGCCCUGGGUGUAGCUAAACGGUGGUUUCGAAUACAGGUAAGAGGAAAUUCUUUGAUUCAUUUCCAGGAAGCUUGUUGUUGACGCCUCUCUUUUAAUUGUCAGCACUUCUGAGUGCUCAUUUCAUUGCAGAACCUCCCAUAAUGGCAACCUCUCCAUUCCUGUUGUGUUAGGGAUUCCUUAGAAGAAUCAUCUCAAGGGCAUCCUGCGGUGCCUUUCUCACCCUUUCCACUGGUUACCUUUUACCCUGGAACUCAUCCAAGCACUUUUCCACCAGCUCACAGUAACAUUGUGCCUCUCUUCUACCCCCGAGCCUGGCAUUUCACUGCUCAGAGGAAGCUUAAUGCCAUCUGCAAACUGGGAAAGUCAACUUAGAAAAGUUGAGAAAAUGUGAAAUGUAAUUGAUCUUACCAUAUUUACAGUAGCACCCGGCUCUUAACCAUUUUAUAUCUGUUUGAGUAAAUGGUAUGGAAAAUGUAAGAAAUAGGUUUUUGCUGGUUUGCUUGUUUUUUGUUUUUUUUUUUUCAUAUCAACAAGCAGCUAAGCUUUGUGCAUUCUAAAUUGCUUAGUUAUUAAAAAUAAUUUUAACACAUUUAAUUAUAAAGAGCUUAGAUUUAAGAUUUACUGUGAGCUAGGGACAGUGUUAAAUGUUCUAAUUUAACCCUACACCAACCAUGGAGGUAACUAUUAUUAACUAUAUUUUGAGGAAAUAGAUAAGAAACGGUUUUAAGUUCAUUACCCAGGAACACAAGGCUGGUAAGAGACAGAACAACAAUGUAAAUCAAUUGUCUGAGUACUUAUGGGUUACAAAUUAGCAUGACUUUAAGUACAGUUUUUAAAAUCAGUUUAUCUAAAGUAGUGUUUUCAAAUAGUUUAGCAGCAAAAUAUUCUUUUUAAAAAUCAAUCCAUUGCAAAAGAGAUUGUAUUUCAUCAUGUAAAAUGUCUUUGUUUUUUCUUUUUGACAAUAAUAAUGCAUAUCCACUGUAAACAUUCAAACAGCAUGGAAAUAUACAACAUGAAAAUAAGUGAAAAUUGUGUGUGACAAACGUAAAACUUUCAGACAGUUAUUUAGUUGACUGCUGAAGUCCUAUCAGCCUUGGCAUUCAAUUUAUUUUUGUAAUUUACUGAGUUGUUUAGCAACUAGAACAUCUUGACUCUUACAGAUCAACAAGAGGGUACGACCUUGAAUUUGUGUAUGUGUAGGUGUGUGCAGGCUACACAGAUAUGAGUUACAAAACCCCCCAGCACAGCUAUUACCAUCUUAAGGACAUAUGUCUGCAAGUUCAAAUAGAGUCCCAGAGAUGGUAAGAAAGAUUUUAUGUUAGGCCCUGCACAAAAAUGAAUUAACCCGGCAGCAGGAGUCAAUAUGCUGGUGGUCUACAGUGUGUUAAAAUUUAGUAUAUAACACAUUUGAAUGUAUAUCUUAAUUUAUUACAGUCAGAAUAUUAAAUUGGAAUCAAAUGUCAAUAAACCUCUCUAUACACCUUUAAGAAGUAAGGUUCCUUAGAAAACAGUUUGAAAAUCACCUCUCAAAACAUCAUGUCCAUAACUAAACCCCUUGAUUUAAGAACCUUAAUACUUUCAAAACUCUGCCUAAGUCCUAGAUCUUUACAUCAGACUGUGGGCAUGCAGCAGGAAAAUUAAAUACACAAAAACACACUCUCACACUCACACACGUGCACACACAAUAUGCUUCUCUUAAAAAUCUGUAGCUAGUACAUACCCUAAAGAAUAUCUAUUUGACUCAUAUUAAACAUAUUUUGAUCCUGGGGUUGUAGAGAAAUAAGGGAAAUUGCUAAGUUAAUGGCUCAUGAUGGGCCAUACCAAAGGAAAGAAUAUCAUUUGAAAUAGACAACUCAUAUGAAACAAAGAAUAUGGCUAAAGUUGGAGGUAAAGAGCACAUUAAACGUGUAGGGAGGUUAAGGUUGAUGUUUAACAUUUUAAUCCUUCGUUAUGGUACCAAGGACAUCAAUCUUUUAUUUUUUUCCCUGCAUUUAUUUUCUUAGUGGAAGAGAGUGCACAAUUGGGGAUAUUAUCUUCAACACUCAUCCAUAUACAAAUUAGUUAUUUUAAGGGAAGUCCUUUCUUGAAAAUCAUAGUAGCAAGCAGAUAUUCCUGUAAGUUUGUUUGUUUGUUUGUUUCCUCUUGUGGCUUGAAUUCAAAACUAUGGCUAAGCCCUUGAACUGAGCCUCUGAGUCUUUCUGCCAUUUGAUUAAAUAAGGUCUGGCUAAGAAGCUAUAGUUGUGCAGAUGAUAGAAGAAGUAUGCUAAAAUAUAAAAGGGAGACCAGUUUCUUCAGUUUUUUAAUGUUGGCCUUACAGCAGUUGAGGGAUUUAAUUAUCUCCUUUUGAAUCCUGUUGUGUUUUUUUCUGGUUAGACUUAGUUCAGCUUUUAUUAUUCAUUUCUGUGACUGCACAAGAUAAACUGAAAUACUGAAAAACACCAGGCACAUAAGGAAUUAAUUUAACUUGGGUCCCAGUUAAGAAUGGAGGAAGGUCUUGGUUCUGUGCCAUGUACAAAAGUGAGGGUCAGCAUUUUGUGUUGCUUUUGUACUAUUAAAUAUAGCAUCUAAAAUAGUCUUUUCAAAUGGUGGUUUUCAGCAUGGGUCCUCCUGCUUGCUGGAGUUCCAAGAAAACCCUCCACAGCAAUCUGCAUAACAGUACCAAAUACAAGUAUCAAAGGGAGAAUGACAGGUGAAAAAACAGGAAUUGUCUAUAUUAUAGAAAAAGGAACAUUAAAAAUAACCAUUUAAAAAUAUCAUAAUGAGGCUUUUAUUUUCUGUUUUUCUUUUUUUUUUUAGCAUUAUCAAGUAAGCUGUGUAGGAAGUCUGAGCAGCCAUUACUAUUUAAAUGUGGUCUAUAAAAUAAAAGAUCUGGGGUGAAUGCUAAUAGUUUUAUUUACACUACUGGUUUCCCAUAUUAGAAGGUUUAACCACAUUGGAAGGGAUAAAUAUAGAUCUAUAAUCUUUUACAUAAAAUUUUCAAAAUCAGGUGUGUUCUAGAAUUGAGAAUUUUUCAGAUUUUAAUGAGGUAGGAACAAGACAUACGAUAUUAUCUUGUCACAUCACUAGGAGUGUCUGUCUAGGAUAGCGUCCAGUAAUUAAACAUGUUAGUAUCUAUGCAGCAAAAAGUGUGAAAAUUCCCAUUAAAUAGCACAGAUAUCAUAAAUAACCUCAUUUCCAUCAUUUCAGAACAAGUUUUGCCAGCAAAUCUGUUUCCACUGGUUUCUGCAUCUCAAAAUUGUAGUGAAGGGAGUGUGAACCUCUGUUGCCAAGAUGGCACACCAGUUCGCAUUCUCACCAGCGUUUAUCGAUGAUUUCUUGGGAGGUCUUAGUCAUCCUUGAAUUUACUGUCCAGCAUCACGUUUAACUCACAGUGAAAAUUAAUUUUUUAAUGGAAUUAUUUAAGCAAAACAUCACCAGCAAGAAGAACCAAAAUAACCUCUGGGGGAUGUUCAUUGAGUAGUCACUUGGAAAUAAAUUGAAAAACAAAAAUACGAGGUUUUCUCACAUGCUGUAAUUUGGUGUUGGUUUGAGUAGAAGGCUAAACUAAACAAGGUCUGAAUUUCCCAAGGCAAUUGAGACCCCCAUGUAUUUAAAUGACGAAGCUCUGUGCAAUCAGUUUUAGGUCAGUUACAUAGUGAAUCCAAUUUAGGAGUUUAAAGGGCCAAAAAUAAAAUCUUAGAAAUGUUUCUCAUACCUUUAGAGAGACCAUGAUGGGAGCUUAUUGACAGCUCAGGAUACAGGAUUUUUCUAACACAGAGCUUUGCAAAAUUUUACUGUGAAUAUAAACUCAUCAGCUGAAAUCCAACUCCUUUUUCCCCCUAAAGAAUACUAUAUAUAGCAUUUUCCCUAUCCCAUGUCAUCAUUAAGCAAUAGCAAUCCUUCCUCAUUUAAAGGUAUUUAUCCAAACACUAUCAGACCUGAGAUAUACCAAAAGAUUUCUUAAAAUGUAAUGCAGUUCCACCAAGAAAAAGUAAUCUUUGGAAUGCAUCUCAGAGAGUAACUCUCUUGAUUUAACAGAAGACAGUUUAGCCAUCUAGAAUGUUCACCAUUUCCUUGUGAAGAAAAUUUCUUUCCCUGCUCUUUGACUCUGGAGAGAAGCCUCUGUCCUUGGUUCUGGGUGACCAAAACAUACAGCUGCAGGCAUAUUCCUUUAGAAAGUGAAUAUUCCAGAAAUGCAUUUCUCAUCAGCUCUGGAUCUUAAAAAUGCUUCAGAAUUUCCUUUGAACAUCAAAGCUCUUAUAUUUCAGGAAUUUAUAAAUAUUUAGGAGAGAAAAAAUUUCAUUAAGAGAUUUACAUUUUUUGUUUGCCUCCUAGUGUUUACCAUUCCUUCCAGGCCAUUUUUCAUUUUUCCAUAGUAACGUGUCUAAGUUAUUCAUCUGUUUAAUCAUGUAGGCCCUCUUCUUAGACACUGUGUUCCCUUUUACCUUUAGU
rnacentral:lncRNA from 1 species